rnacentral:misc_RNA from 1 species
AAGUCGUAACAAGGUUUCCGUAGGUGAACCUGCGGAAGGAUCAUUACAACGUAUCCAACGUAAACAAACGCGAACUUCCCUUUGGGACGCGGGACCAAACGCAGGCAGCUGCUUUGGUUAUGAAGUUAGUUAGGCUGAACUGCUAACAGAGUGUUUCGUCGAUGGAGGCUUGCCUGGACAGUCCAGGCUUGCCUGAAACACCAGUUCUUGGCCCGGAUUAGUUCCUUGUGAACGUGUCCGAACUUCGCCUGCCCCAAAGUGUAUCAAACCAUCGGUUCUAUUGUACCCUUUUAUUAACCCUGUAAACUUUGUACUGAACUCUGGGAGCGCUGUGGUAGUCCUCGUUGGCUUCGGUCACGGACUGCGCUAACACAGUGUUUUCUCACAUAUUACGAAAUUAAGAACAACUCUUAACAACGGAUAUCUUGGCUCUC